rnacentral:rRNA from 1 species
GGCGGCGUGCCUAAUACAUGCAAGUCGAGCGAACGGACGAGAAGCUUGCUUCUCUGAUGUUAGCGGCGGACGGGUGAGUAACACGUGGAUAACCUACCUAUAAGACUGGGAUAACUUCGGGAAACCGGAGCUAAUACCGGAUGAUAUUUUGAACCGCAUGGUUCAAAAGUGAAAGACGGUCUUGCUGUCACUUAUAGAUGGAUCCGCGCUGCAUUAGCUAGUUGGUAAGGUAACGGCUUACCAAGGCAACGAUGC